CGUGUUAUUGAGAUGAGGGUGAGAAUUACAGUGCGGUUCUCCUCUGGCACGGAGGUCGAGGGUAGCCGGCGGCAAUCCGGCCAGCGGCGAGGCUGCCAGUCCGUCCCCUUGCCAAAGGAGAAUUGCCCUGCCAUUCAUAACCCUCCUGGGUUUAUACAUA